ACACUGUGAAAUACUGGUUCUUGUAUGAUCACCGAAGCUAAGCAACAUUGAACCUUGUCAGUACCUAGAUGGGUAACUGCUUGGGAAUACCAGGUGCUGUAA